AAAGAACAAAAACUCAAAUACCCCUUAAAAAUUUUUUUCUUUAUUUUUCGAACUCAUCUGUCAUAGCAUGAAAGAAAAUUUGGGAUUAAAAAUGGUAUAGCCCUUCAUGUCUUUGUCCCUGUAGAUAGAUAUUUCAUGUUAUUGUAGUCACCACGUAUGUUGUAUGCUGCUUUUUCCCACUUAAACUUAUUUUUCCAUGUACCAUAAUUAUUUUAAUAGCUGUGUGUAUACUUGUUCCAUCAAGUUGACUAUAGUUUUUUCUACCCUGUUAUCUACCUCUAGCUCCAUUGAACAUCUUCCUUUUGUUAAGCGAUAGCCAUAAGUUCUUAGUAGCAAAAUUAUUGGAUCAAAGAGUAGGACGAUUUGUAUGGCGCUUUUAAUGUGUGUUUUCAGGCAUUGCCUUGAAUGUCCACCCUGCCAUAUACUUACUAAACAAGUUAUUGAAGCUUUGAAAAACUCAGGAAACAGGGAUACUUCACCUAUGUCCUGGAAUGGUUGUGAGGAUAAAAUGAGAUGAUGCGUGCAAAGCCCCUAUUGUAGUACCUGGCACAGAAGAGAGGUAUUUCCUACAUGGCAGCUGCUGUGAUGAUCUCCUGGUGAUGAUUGUGCUAUUACUUGACUAACAUGAUUCCAUUAUGCCAGCAGUCUUCUAGACCACUUGCACCCAGCGUUGGAUAGCAAAUGAUGGAGAAGCCUUGCUGUGCUUCUGCUUUGGGAAGUGCACCCAUGCCAGAGACAAGCACCAUUUUCAGAUGCUUGGUUUCUAGUGGGGGAAUACAGAUGUGUAAAUUUGUGGUAACAAGGCAGAGUGAAGCAAGUGAUUAACAGCAGUCUGAAUCAAGUGCUGUGGAACUUCCGAGGAAAAAGUGAUGAACUCUGCCUGAUCUAAUUGGGAAGCAAGACCUCAUUAGAGGUGAUGCUUGCUGAGCCAAGGCAAAAGUCAUGGGGAGAAUUUUGGUAGUUGGGAAAGAUAGAUCAUUCUAGGCAAAGGGAACACCCCGAGCAAAGCACAUGGCCUGAUCGUGGAUGAAGCAUCUGAAGAAUGAAGAAGUUGACUUAGUUGGAGUGCAGAAUAUUGUGGGAGAGAAUCCUAUGGAAACAGGCUAGAAGUGACAUCACAGAUAUCCUGGGAAUGUGUACCUAGGAGUUUACUCUUGACUCCGGAGGCAGUGCACAAUGGCAAAUGUUUGGGGAUGCAUUUUGAUUGCAUAAUUGACUGUUUUAAUGCUUGCUCUGCCAUGUGUGAUCUGUAUCAUAUUUUUGUUCAUAAAGUGCUAAAAGGGCCAAGGUAAAAUCACCCUGAAAGCAUAUGGUUGUUUUUAUAUGUUUUUUGAUGUUUUAAUUAUACUGACAGAAAUACUGACUACUGUAUUUUUGUCCAUUACAGGAUUCUGCUCUAAUACUUGAUGUUCCUCUGGGUGUGAUCUCAAGAAUUGAAAAAAUGGGAGGCGCAACAAGUAGAGGAGAAAAUUCCUAUGGUCUAGAUAUUACUUGUAAAGACAUGAGAAACCUGAGGUUCGCUUUGAAACAGGAAGGCCACAGCAGAAGAGAUAUGUUUGAGAUCCUCACGAGAUACGCGUUUCCCCUGGCUCACAGUCUGGUAAAUUCCAGCGUGCUCCUCAGCGUGGGAAGGUUCUCAGUGCCUCCUCUGUGAAAACUGCCCGCGAGCUGGGAUCCUCUUUCUUUUACUGUCUAUGUUGUGUUUCCCAGUGUGAUGUGUCUGUGGGGGUGUUUAUUAAAUAAUUUCAUCAUUUCCAGAGGGAAUAGGCCUCUCCCCUGUCAGUCUGCGUGGGAUGGAUUGCCCCAGGUGACUGAAACACAAAGCCCUGGAGGCUGGCAAGAGCCCUGCAUGAGCCUGGGAGCUUCACCAAGGGCACCUUGUGCUCUUCCAACCCUGAGUGUGCCCUCAGUCUUGGCCAUCCCUCCUGAAAAUGUAGGCGGUAGUGAGGCGGACUCGGGUGGCUGAGUGCAACACUGUGAGGUCAUAUCCCAGAGUUCAUUGCUUUCACCUUUGGAGCUAAUAAGCAAUGAGUGUCAGGCUUUUGUGGCUCCAGUUGUAAAUGGGAACAAACUCUGAGUCUAAAUGCCAUUUGAGCAAAUAGAGAUGUGUGGUAUAGGUACUGCACCAAUAGCUGAAUAGGGGCAGGUUUACUUUGGAAAAGAAUAACCUUUCAAAUGUCAUUUGAUCGCAUUUAGUAUGUAAUUGGCAGGACCAAUUUAUUAUGCAUUUAAUUAGUUGUAAUCUAUGACUUAGUCCAAAGGUGGUUCAGUAUGUGUACCUAAAACGUUUCCUUCCUCUUCACCAAACUACUGGAGUAACCUUACUCUUACUGCAUGACUGAAAUAAGCCUUUCUAUGAGUUUUGCUCUUAGAAUGAUAUUUCUUUAUAUCCUGCCUCAGCCUUACCUCCUUUUUUACUGCCGUGCCUUGCUCGAAUCUUCUAACCCCUAUCUUCCUCGUCAGUUUGACUUGAACUUAGAUGCAAAUACCUGCUAAGGGGAGAGUGAGAAAAUAAUUAUUUACAACAUAUACUGUAUAAAUGCCUGUAUCUUAAGUAUAGGAUGAUCAUACUGCAGACUAAACCCAAGGUGAUGGAAGGGACCCUGAAGUAAAAGAGGCAUGUGUUGAACACAGAUGAAACUGUCAUGCUUGGGAACAAAUGUGCUCAUCUCAUAAUUGAAUCUAUUUUCAGCCUUUUCUAAGUUUGUGAUUAAAUAUGUGAUUUUUAAAAA